rnacentral:lncRNA from 1 species
GGAAACUGGAUGUUCUCCUAAAACAGCCACCUAGCCAAGCUGAACCAACAGAGAUGUAUUGAUCACCGGGUCAAUGGAACUAGGUGGGUGCUGGGGGGAAAGUCAGCAGGUAAGUCAGGUGAGGACUGCCUCCCUUCCACUCCCCACCCAGAGACUGAAGACAGACAGACAGACAGAGGCGUUCAUUCAGAAAGAAGUAGGAGGGCUUCAGGGAUUCAGCGGAGGAGACUGAAAGCCUGAGAGACGAUGCCUCUGAGAAGGUUACAGACCUUGGGAGAAAGCGCUUUCACCUCCUCACCACAGACACUCUCGACUGUGGACUCAGGACACUAAGCCAGAAAGGUGACGAUUUCCUUCUUGAACCCGGCCUGCAUCAGCAGCUCAGACCCAGGGCUCCGGGUCCUUUGCUCUAUGUCCAGUGCUCUUUUUGCUCCCUCACACACUUAGCGAUGGCAGUGUUCUUAGUAUACUCAAAGAGCUUUGUAAUGAAUUAGAGCAGCCAUUCCCAACCUUCCUAGUGCUGCGGUCCUUUAAUACAGUUUCUUAAGUUGUGGCGAACCAUCCCCCCCACCCCCAACCAUAACAUUAUUCUUGCUGCUGCUGUUAUGAAUCGUAAUGAAACAUUUGAUCUGCAGUACAUCUGAUAUGUGAUUCCCGAGAAAGGGCCAUCAUAUUCCAAGGGAUCGGGACCCACAGCGUGAGAAGCCCUGAACUAGAGAUCCGCCUAAACUGAGAAACAACCUAGCACCUAUCCCAGCCCAUCAAUGUUGUAUAUGGCAACAGAUUCAAAAGCCCAGACUAAAACAUACUCACCAUCCAUGUUACCAGCUCUCACCAUGGGGCAGCAAUGUGGAUUUAGUAAGCAUAGCCCACGGGCACUCAUUUUGAAGACACUAGGAGAACUUCAAAGCCAGGUUUGUUCUUCUGCCUCUGGUGACAUUUUUAAAAUUUCAGCACUGUUUUUUUUUUUAAUUGAUUCUUUGUGAAUUUCAUAUCAUGCACCUCAGUCCUGCACAUCUCCUGUCCCCUCCCUCCCUCCAACCUCCACCCUUCCCCAACAAAGAAAAAUAAGUCCCCACUAUGGAAGCUGUAGUGUGCCAUCGUGUGUCCUUUUGUCCACACUUCUUUGCUUGCAAGUGCUCAUUGCAUUGACUUUGUUGGUCUGGUACGAGUCAGGCCUCUGGCUUCUGCUAUGCUAACGAUGCUAGAACCUUACUGAGACUCCUCUAGGGUAGACUGUUGUCACCCCGUGUGUCAUGGAGACCCUGUAGUUUUGGAUCUGCAGGACUGGCUUCUUCACGUACUCCAGCAGUUCAUUGAUGGGAUAGACGUGGGGUGGGCUAACUCAAAGCCCUGGAUCUGGGCCUGAGAGGUGUCUGAGCUGCUCAGCCCACCAGCUCUCCAGUUCUUGUGGCCUUUGGAUUGGCUCGCCAGCAACCCCCUCUCCCAGGGCUAGCUCUCCUGGCUGACCAGGUCGGUCCUUAUAUUUGCUUUAGGAACCUGACAAGACUGACUAGCCAUCUCUAGCAUUCAGAUAGGUGGAACUUCAUUGUGCUGAAGUUAUGUUUGAGCACCCUCUGCUGGACAAAUCAGAUGCUCUAUGACUACCAACAAUGUACCAGUGGUAUUCGUCUCUUGCAGAUCUGGAAGAAAAUGAAAUUUAGGUACAUACAGUCACGAACAGAUACCUAGAUGACACAUUUAAAACCCUCAAACACAGUGGAGAUGAGACCAGCAUAAUAUUAAGCUCUUCUCCCUCACAAACACCUGUGCUACCCACACUCACAGGCAAAAAAAAUAUACACAACUGCCAGACUGCAAUGCCUCCCAAUUUAUUGGCCAAAUCUAGAUUCUGCUAGCCCUGUAUAUUCACUCAGAAAGCCAGGCUUCAGACACACCAUGAGUGAUGAGAAAUCCAUUUCAUCAGCAGAGGCAUCUUGCCUAUCUUCAGGAAGCCUACAGACUUCCAGGGAAGCAGGGGGGAAAUCAAGACGUGUCUGACUAUGAGCUGGGGUAAGGGAAGCCUCCGUGUGAAGAUGUGACCUAGUUAGGACAGCUGCCGGAAAGCAGGACUGGCAAGCUUGGUGGUUUGUACACCGGGCCUUGGGAGACUUGGGACACAAACACGAGGUCUUCUGAGGAUGUUUGUGAGUUGCUGGGUUACACAAAAAGAUUCUAGCUCAACAAGCAAAGAAGCGAAGGGGAGGGAAGGGGAGGAAAGGGAGGAGAAGAAAGGAAGUGGGAAGAGAAAAUGGGGCCAAGAAAAGCCCCAAACAUCCCAUAAGCACCCAGAACAGUGUCCCCACCGCGAACCAACCGGGAACCAAAGUGUUCACACCAGAUGAGCUCGUGGAAGGGCUUUUUGCCAAUUGUUCAUGGGUCCCCAGUGAUGAUGGAAUAUUGCGACUUACGUUUCAACCGUUUAAAAAUUUACUGUUAUUAUUUAUGCAUUUCAGUGUUUUGUCUGUUACACGCUCUGUAACUCCAGUUGCAGAAAAUGUAAAACUUUUCUGCCCCCUCCCCCUCCGGCAACCGGGCACAGACAUUUACGGGAGGCUGUGGCUACUUUAGGAGAUGUGAGCGAGCAGUCUCCUUCCUGCUGCUGCAGCUGCAAGCUGCUCCUGCCGCCCAUGCCUUCUCUACUGCCAUGCCUUCCCUACCACAAGGGCCAGAACUCUCACACUGAAAGCCAGAAUAAAUCCUUCCUCUCUUCGGUUGGUUGUUGUCAGGUAAUUGGUCCCAACCAUGGUAAAGCUUAGUGGAAAAGAAAAAAAAGGUAAAAAUCUAUUGUAGACUGAGUGCCCUGAAUCAGAAAACACACAGUCCAGCUGCUCUGAAAUCUAAGCAUCAUCGUGACACUACAAAGAGAAAACUCCAUAUCUGACCACACAUGAGAAUCUACUGAUGAAUACAACCAUGGGUUUACUAAAAAAAGGUGUAUAAAAUGAUCUUCAAGCUGCUCGUAUAAGAUAGGUAUGAAGUGUAAAUUGAAUUUUGGGUCUGACCCCCUAACAUAUUUUCCUGCGUGAAUACAAAUUCCCUCAAGUCCAAAUAACCCCACACUUGGGCGUUUCAGAUAGGGGAUACCCAAUCUGUAAGCCGUUUACUGCCAUAGAGAAGCUAUGAUGCAAGCAGAGCCUACUAACAACUUGGCCAAAACACUUCUAAUAACAGAACUUCACAUGGGUUUCCAUGAGGUCAGAAUGGAAGUAGGAGGAUACAUUGUUUGACGUCAUGGUAUCUGUCCAAUUAAGGUCUGUGUGAGCCUUCCAUCACCAUAACAAAACACAGAACAGAAUCAGCUUUUUAAGGGGGCUUAUUUUGGAUUAUGGUUGCAUAGGAAGAUAUAUAGAUAGGAUCUCCAUGCCAAUAUUUUUAAUGGGUGCUGUCUCUAUUGCUCUGGGCAGGAGAAGGCAGCAGCUGGCAUCAAUGGUGUGGUGAGGAGAGAAUCAAGUUUCCUUCUCCAGUUCAAACAGACGAAAGUGAAGCGACAUAGGCUCAAGGACAGGGUCACUGGGCUAGCGCCACACCAUGGAGCCAAACCCCGAGCCUUCUAAAUUGUGAGCUGGGCAUGGUGGUUCACCCCAGGAAUCGCAGCACUGAGGGAUGAAGGCGAGAGAGUCACUGUGGGUGUGACAUCAGUCUGGCCUGAAGUCUGAGACUGUUUUUUUAAAAAGAAAACAUUUUUUUAUGUCAUAUAUUUAAUUAUAUAAAGAUUCUGUUGUUUUGUUGUUGUUGUUGUUAAAAUUCAGCCAGGAAAUUUCCAUCUGUCUGGUGUUAAUUGGUUGUUUUUCAGCACUAAUUGGGAAAUGAUAUAUUUUUAUUGUUUUAUAAAUAGAGUAAAACCCCUCAGAAACUGCUGGGGAAAUUUAAACAAGGAAAGCAAUUCUAUGUCCUUGCUUGACACCAGUUUGUCCCAGAGGUGACACAACUGUGUAGUUUUUGAAAACACUGGGCAUUUAUAUAUAUAUGAGACAAAACCCCACUGUAUAGCCCUGGCUAACUCGAAACUCACUAUGUAAAUCAGGCUGGGCUUUGACACACAGAGCUCUGCCUUUGCCUACUCAGUGUUGGGAUUUAACACCCACACCACCAUAGCCAGCCUUCUCUCCAAGGGGCAAAUUUCUUUCUGAAGCAACUUCCUCAUUUAUUAACAGUAUUGCUUCCAGACCCCGUGUGUGUGUGUGUGUGUGUGUGUGUGUGUGUGUGUGUGUGUACAGAUAUGUGUUUGCAAGUAUUUAGACACAAGUUGAUGCAGACUACACCAGUUUCAUGAAAUUGUUCCCAUGUCAGUGGCUAGUCUGAGCCUUUUGUACUUGUAAACAGCUGGCUGUAAACUGGGGAUUCCCAUACUCUCCUCUUCAGCCCCAUAAUUAUCAUGGUGAUUUGCAACCUGUAGGUAAUGACCCGUUUGGCUCAUAUAUCAGAUAUUCUGCAUGUCAGAUAUUUAUAUUUUGAUUCAUAACAAUAGUAAAAUUAUAGUUAUGAAGUAGUAAUGUAAAUAGUUACACUGUGGGGGUCACCACAACACGAGGAACUGUGUUAAAUGGCUUCAGCAAUAGGAAGGUUGAGAGCCACUGAUUUAUUAGGUCAUUUCAUGGAUCGUGGGGAUGCUUUCUACUUUCAUCUAUUGUUUAUUACAAAAGAUGUAGACAGACAGAUAGAUAGACAGACUCACAGAUAAAUAGAAAAAUAGAUGACAGAAAGAUAGAAAGUUAGGUAAAAAGAUAAAAAGAUAGGUAGAUGCUAGAAAGAUAGAUAGACUCAAAGACAAAUAGAAAGAUAGAUAAUAGAGAAAGGUGGAAAGAAAAAUAGAUAGAUGAUGGAAAGAUAGGUAGAUAGACUGACAGAAUGA